rnacentral:lncRNA from 1 species
GUCUUAUUACAGAAUAACUGGAUUUGACAUUAUUCUCAGCGUAAAAUGAAAAAUCAUUGCAGAGCCAAUGCUGAUUAGUCCUGACUUGCUAACAGCUCCUUCAUAAAUCACGAUUUAAACAGCCUUUCUGCUUGCUGGAGACUUAUCUGUGUUUACUAGCUACAAGGCCCUAUUGAUAUCUUUGCUUUUGGACCUUGAACCUGUUAUCUUUUUGCCUUGAAGAAAAGAAAAAAAAAUAUUGGUAUAUGUAUAAAAGGGGGUUAUCCUGUUUAAAUUGGUAGUUGGAAUGCUUGGAGCUUUAGAUAAGGAAGAAAUAAAUCAGGAAGGAGCCGCCUGACCUUCAUGGAAAAACAAGCACCAUGGAUUGUCACAAAGCCAAGAGCUCCGGAUAGCAAUCUGCUGACCACAGAUUACAUCAAUUGUCCAGUGAUUGCAAACCUAAGCUCGAUCGACCUUAAACAAAGCACAGACUACACAGAGGACACAGCAAGGACCUUAAAUACAUAUUUCCAUUACAUGUUACCUCCAAUGAUGUGUAAAUGGGUCAAGGUUAGGAGAAAGUGUCUUGAAGAUGGGGACUCAGAUGUAAGAGUACCAAUUUUCAUCCUACCAAAGUUGCUGUGUGUGAGAUGGGACCUGGUAUUUUGCCUUCUGGUACACUUCACGAAAGCCCUUGCAGUGAAGGUGAUCCAGCGGCUACUCAUCCACCAGACUGCUGAACAAAAGAGCAAAUACAACAUUUCUGCAUGGAAUGGAUUGUUGAAUGGAUUGUUGUAAAAACUUAAAAGCUGGAGUGCUUGGCAUGCUAACUCUUUAAAAUUGUCUGGACUGCACAAAGUGCAGGGGCUGAGGCUGAAUGGUGUGAGUGCACAGUGACAUAAAUGACAGGACUGACAAAUAAAAGCACCAGGCCUCAUUAAGAAAAAAUGAGCACAUGCUCAUAUGACAUCUGAAAAGAAUAUAGACACUGCAAAAAUGGCAAGCACUGGAACUCAUGCCAAGUCCACAUACUGUAUUAUAGGGAGCUGUGAACAUGAUUAUUCUAUCCUGCCCGUGAAAUAGGUAAGUCUGAAAAGCAAUUCCCAGAUAUCUCAGUACAGGUGGAUUUGCAAGAGCUGAACAAGAAGCCACUCACCAAAAGAAGCCAUGAGUUGUGGUUGUGUGAGGAAAAUUGAAAAAAAUAACAAACCAAAAAUCUGUUUAGAA